rnacentral:rRNA from 1 species
GGGCCCGCACAAGCGGUGGAGCAUGUGGUUUAAUUCGAUGCAACGCGAAGAACCUUACCUGGUCUUGACAUACACAGAAUCUUGUAGAGAUACGAGAGUGCCUUCGGGAAUUGUGAUACAGGUGCUGCAUGGCUGUCGUCAGCUCGUGUCGUGAGAUGUUGGGUUAAGUCCCGCAACGAGCGCAACCCUUGUCCUUAGUUACCAGCACUUCGGGUGGGAACUCUAAGGAUACUGCCAGUGACAAACUGGAGGAAGGCGGGGACGACGUCAAGUCAUCAUGGCCCUUACGACCAGGGCUACACACGUCAUACAAUGGUUGGUACAGAGGGUUGCGAACCCGCGAGGGGAAGCUAAUCCCAUAAACCGUGGCUCAGUUCAGAUCGUAGGCUGCAACUCGCCUACGUGAAGGCGGAAUCGCUAGUAAUCG